rnacentral:rRNA from 1 species
UGCCAGCCGCCGCGGUAAUACGGGGGGUGCUAGCGUUAUUCGGAUUUACUGGGCGUAAAGGGCGCGCAGGCGGUUUCUUAAGUCAGAUGUGAAAGCCCGGGGCUCAACCCCGGAAGUGCAUUUGAAACUAAGGAACUUGAGUAUGGGAGAGGGAAGUGGAAUUCCUGGUGUAGCGGUGAAAUGCGUAGAUAUCAGGAGGAACACCGGUGGCGAAGGCGACUUCCUGGACCAAUACUGACGCUGAGGCGCGAAGGCGUGGGGAGCAAACAGGAUUAGAUA